GAUGAACGCUGGCGGCGUGCCUAAUACAUGCAAGUCGAGCGAACAGAUGAGGAGCUUGCUCCUCUGACGUUAGCGGCGGACGGGUGAGUAACACGUGGAUAACCUACCUAUAAGACUGGGAUAACUUCGGGAUACCGGAGCUAAUACCGGAUAAUAUAUUGAACCGCAUGGUUCAAUAGUGAAAGACGGUUUUGCUGUCACUUAUAGAUGGAUCCGCGCCGCAUUAGCUAGUUGGCAAGGUAACGGCUUACCAAGGCAACGAUGCGUAGCCGACCUGAGAGGGUGAUCGGCCACACUGGAACUGAGACACGGUCCAGACUCCUACGGGAGGCAGCAGUAGGGAAUCUUCCGCAAUGGGCGAAAGCCUGACGGAGCAACGCCGCGUGAGUGAUGAAGGUCUUCGGAUCGUAAAACUCUGUUAUUAGGGAAGAACAAAUGUGUAAGUAACUAUGCACGUCUUGACGGUACCUAAUCAGAAAGCCACGGCUAACUACGUG
rnacentral:rRNA from 1 species